rnacentral:rRNA from 1 species
UACGUAGGGCGCAAGCGUUGUCCGGAAUUAUUGGGCGUAAAGAGCUCGUAGGUGGCUUUGUCACGUCGGGUGUGAAAGCUUGGGGACUUGAACUCCCAGGGUCGUCAUUCGGAUACGGGCUGGCUAGAGGUAGGUAGGGGAGAACGGAAGUUCCUGGUGUAGCGGUGAAAUGCGUAGAGAAUCGGGAGGAAGGCCGGAGGCGAAGGCGGCGCUCUGGAACCGUUACGUGACGCUGAGACGACGAAAGCGUGGGGAGCAAAGCAGGAUUAAGAAACCCGGGU